AUGUGCCCUCCUCAGUGCCCAUCCCCCAGAGUCCCCCUCCCCCUCCGCCCUCUCUUCUGUCACCCUGUUUGUUUCCUGGAGUCCAGAGUCUCUCCGGGUUUGUCCCCUUCUCUUGAUUUCUUCCCAGUCAGUUUUCCCUCUCUUCAUUACUGGUUUUUAAGAUGUGCGGUUUAUUUUUUUUUUUUUUUUAAAGCUGUGCUUACACAACGCGUAAGUGGAAUCAAAGUCACAAUAUUUCAAGGAAGAAAUAUCACUAGCGUCUCACUGAUGAUGAAGCGGCGGCUAAACCAAGAUCGGUUUAGUCCAAUGCAGUGGGUUCCAGGAAGGCUCCCGGAUGGCGUCGCGGGAACAGCUUUGAGACCAGCCAGCGGACUGUGGAUUUCCAGGACUCAGGAGACGCUGAUGGAGUCCAUGUAGCUGCCAAGCCGAGAUCAAGCAGCUAAGAAUUAAUUACAUGGGACAGAUGAGGACGAUUCUAGCUUCUGUGACUUUCUGUCUGAAACACUGCUGGAUGUUUAAUGUUUUGAUCUCCAGAUUCUAAAAGAGCUUUUCUUUCCCCUCUUUUAGGCUGUAUACAACUUUGAGCAGUUUGAUACAUUCUUCAUUGCAAACAGCUGCGAAGCAUUUAUAUUUUCUCCCUCCCUGAUCUCUCCAGGAUUUGGAAACUCCGAGUUGAGUAUUCUCAUUUUCAUGGCGACACAGUUAUUUCCAUACGUUCAAUAAAAAUCUGUUCUCCUUGGAACCGGACAUCAUUGGAAACCAGCUGCCUGAGGUACCAAGGCUUUGACUAGAAUGUCCUAUUUUUAAAAAUUUUUAUUUAUUUAUUUGAUAGAGAUCACAAGUAGGCAGAGAGGCAGGCAAAGAGAGAGGAGGAAGCAGACUCGCUGCUGUGCAGAGAGCCCGAUGACGGGCUCGAUCCCAGUACACUGGGGUCAUGACCUGAGCCGAAGGCAGAGGCUUAACCCACUGAACCACCCAGGUGCCCCUAGAAUGUCCUAUUUGAGAAUGACAUGCAGGGAAUCCGGCCAGACUAGACAGGCCAAAGGAAGCUAAGCUGACUUUGAAGAGGUAAGACUACAAAGGCCACUUGGAAAACCAGCCUCGUCAUGGCUUAUGGGGUUCCUGCCCUACAUGUCAGGAGGGAACCUUAGGACAUGUGGAGCCCUUGAGAGGAGUGUAAUUCUCCCAGAUCUAUAGGUAUUGCAGGUAAAGUCUCACAGCAAAUUCUUGGCUUGGCUUCCCAGCCUCGAGAGCCUUUAAAAAAUCCGAUCCGAGGGGCGCCUGAGUGGCUUAGCUGGUUAAGCAUCUGCCUCCUGCUCAGUCUUGAUCCCAGGGUCCUGGGAGUGAACCCCACGUCGGGCUCCCCACUCAGUGCGGAGCCUGCUUCUCCCUCUGCCCCUCCCCCACCUGUGCUUUCUUUCUCUCUCUCAGAGAAGUGAAAUCUUAAACAAAUAUCCAAUCUGAGAUUCCUACGAAAACUUCUAGCAGAGCAAACCCACAAAAAGGAAAAGGAAAAAGCCCCGUAUGGUCGAUCUCUCUUCUUGCUGCACUUACUUAAAUAAUCAGGUAAAGUUUUCUGAAACCAGACUAACUGUGCAAACAAACUGUCCUAAGCUCAAUCAUCUUUGAUAAAAACGGGCAUUUGCAGAGAAGGGUUUCCUUCUGUUUUGUUUAGUGGAAAGCAGCAAUGCCUUCCCGUGGGCUCUGUCUGUCCUGACCGGAUGCUGAAUUCUAGUUUCCCCAAUGUCCAGCCACAGCUCUGAGAGCCACGGGACUUCCUAGGCAAAACCAGCACUGAGAUCCUGUCUUUCAGGCCUGACUUUUUGACGCUUCUG
rnacentral:lncRNA from 1 species